GACGAACGCUGGCGGCGCGCCUAACACAUGCAAGUCGAACGGAGAAUGCAGGACUGAAGCCUUCGGGCAGAUGGCUUGUAUUCUUAGUGGCGGACGGGUGAGUAACACGUGAGCAACCUGCCUUCAAGAGGGGGAUAGCACCUGGAAACGGGUGGUAAUACCGCAUAAUGCAUCAAUUUCGCAUGUUAUUGAUGCCAAAGGAGCAAUCCGCCUUUAGAUGAGCUCGCGUCUGAUUAGCUAGUUGGUGGGGUAACGGCCCACCAAGGCGACGAUCAGUAGCCGGACUGAGAGGUUGAACGGCCACAUUGGGACUGAGACACGGCCCAG
rnacentral:rRNA from 1 species